AUUGAACGCCGGCGGCAGGCCUAACACAUGCAAGUCGAGCGGCAGCGGGAAAGUAGCUUGCUACUUUUGCCGGCGAGCGGCGGACGGGUGAGUAAUGCCUGGGGAUCUGCCCAGUCGAGGGGGAUAACUACUGGAAACGGUAGCUAAUACCGCAUACGCCCUACGGGGGAAAGCAGGGGACCUUCGGGCCUUGCGCGAUUGGAUUAACCCGGGUGGGAUUAGCUAGUUGGUGAGGUAACGGCUCACCAAGGCGACGAUCCCUAGCUGGUCUGAGAGGAUGAUCAGCCACACUGGAACUGAGACACGGUCCAGACUCCUACGGGAGGCAGCAGUGGGGAAUAUUGCACAAUGGGGGAAACCCUGAUGCAGCCAUGCCGCGUGUGUGAAGAAGGCCUUCUGGUUGUAAAGCACUUUCAGCGAGGAGGAAAGGUCAGUAGCUAAUAUCUGCUGGCUGUGACGUUACUCGCAGAAGAAGCACCGGCUAACUCCGUGCCAGCCGCCGCCGUAA
rnacentral:rRNA from 1 species